rnacentral:rRNA from 1 species
CAGCACCUCAAGUGGUCAGGAUGAUUAUUGGGCCUAAAGCAUCCGUAGCCGGCUCUGUAAGUUUUCGGUUAAAUCUGUACGCUCAACGUACAGGCUGCCGGGAAUACUGCAGAGCUAGGGAGUGGGAGAGGUAGACGGUACUCGGUAGGAAGGGGUAAAAUCCUUUGAUCUAUUGAUGACCACCUGUGGCGAAGACGGUCUACCAGAACACGUCCGACGGUGAGGGAUGAAAGCUGGGGGAGCAAACCGGAUUAGAUACCCGAGUAGUC